rnacentral:rRNA from 1 species
GAUGAACGCUGGCGGCGUGCCUAAUACAUGCAAGUCGAGCGAACGGACGAGAAGCUUGCUUCUCUGAUGUUAGCGGCGGACGGGUGAGUAACACGUGGGUAACCUACCUAUAAGACUGGGAUAACUUCGGGAAACCGUAGCUAAUACCGGAUAAUAUUUUGAACCGCAUGGUUCAAAAGUGAAAGACGGUCUUGCUGUCACUUAUAGGUGGAUCCGCGCUGCAUUAGCUAGUUGGUAAGGUAACGGCUUACCAAGGCAACGAUGCAUAGCCGACCUGAGAGGGUGAUCGGCCACACUGGAACUGAGACACGGUCCAGACUCCUACGGGAGGCAGCAGUAGGGAAUCUUCCGCAAUGGGCGAAAGCCUGACGGAGCAACGCCGCGUGAGUGAUGAAGGUCUUCGGAUCGUAAAACUCUGUUAUUAGGGAAGAACAUAUGUGUAAGUAACUGUGCACAUCUUGACGGUACCUAAUCAGAAAGCCACGGCUAACUACGUG